AUUGAACGCUGGCGGCAUGCCUUACACAUGCAAGUCGAACGGCAGCGGGGGAGAAGCUUGCUUUUCCUGCCGGCGAGUGGCGAACGGGUGAGUAAUACAUCGGAACGUGCCCUGUAGUGGGGGAUAACUAGUCGAAAGAUUAGCUAAUACCGCAUACGACCUGAGGGGGGAAGUGGGGGACCGCAAGGCCUCAUGCUAUAGGAGCGGCCGAUGUCUGAUUAGCUAGUUGGUGGGGUAAAGGCCUACCAAGGCGACGAUCAGUAGCUGGUCUGAGCGGACAGUCAGCCAGCCUGGGACUGAGACACGGCCCAGACUCCUACGGGGGGCAGCAGUGGGGAAUUUUGGACAAUGGGCGAAAGCCUGAUCCAGCAAUGCCACGUGUGUGAAGAAGGCCUUCGGGUUGUAAAGCACUUUUGUCCGGAAAGAAAUGGCUCUGGUUAAUACCUGGGGUCGAUGACGGUACCGGAAGAAUAAGGACCGGCUAACUACGUGCCAGCAGCCGCCGUAA
rnacentral:rRNA from 1 species